ACGGGGUGUUAGGGCACGACACCGGAGAGGGAGCCUGAGAAACGGCUACCACAUCCAAGGAUGGCAGCAGGCGCGCAAAUUACCCAAUCCCGACACGGGGAGGUAGUGACAAUAAAUAACAAUACGGGGUUCUUUAGGAUCUCGUAAUUGGAAUGAGUACAAUUUAAAUCUCUUAACGAGGAACAAUUGGAGGGCAAGUCUGGUGCCAGCAGCCGCGGUAAUUCCAGCUCCAAUAGCGUAUAUUAAAGUUGUUGCAGUUAAGAAGCUCGUAGUUGAAUUUCGGGGUUAGUAGGUUGGUCAUGCCUCUGGUAUGUACUGGUCUCACUGAUUCCUCCUUCCUGAUGAGCCGUAAUGCCAUUAAUUUGGUGUUGCGGGGAAUUUGGACUGUUACUUUGAAAAAAUUAGAGUGUUUAAAGCAAGCUAACGCUUGAAUACAUUAGCAUGGAAUAAUGAAAUAGGACGUUCGAUCCUAUUUUGUUGGUUUCUAGGAUUGACGUAAUGAUUAAUAGGGAUAGUUGGGGGCAUUAGUAUUCAAUUGUCAGAGGUGAAAUUCUUGGAUUUAUUGAAGACUAACUACUGCGAAAGCAUUUGCCAAGAAUGUUUUCAUUAAUCAAGAACGAAAGUUAGGGGAUCGAAGACGAUCAGAUACCGUCGUAGUCUUAACCAUAAACUAUGCCGACUAGGGAUCGGAUGAUGUUAAUUUUUUAAUGACUCANUCGGCGCCUUACGGGAACAG
rnacentral:rRNA from 1 species